rnacentral:rRNA from 1 species
AUUGAACGCUGGCGGCAUGCCUUACACAUGCAAGUCGAACGGCAGCACGGGAGCAAUCCUGGUGGCGAGUGGCGAACGGGUGAGUAAUACAUCGGAACGUGCCCAGUAGUGGGGGAUAACCCGGCGAAAGCCGGACUAAUACCGCAUACGACCUACGGGUGAAAGCGGGGGAUCGCAAGACCUCGCGCUAUCGGAGCGGCCGAUGUCAGAUUAGCUUGUUGGUGGGGAAAAGCCUACCAAGGCGACGAUCUGUAGCUGGUCUGAGAGGACGACCAGCCACACUGGGACUGAGACACGGCCCAGACUCCUACGGGAGGCAGCAGUGGGGAAUUUUGGACAAUGGGCGCAAGCCUGAUCCAGCCAU